rnacentral:rRNA from 1 species
UACGGAGGGGGCUAGCGUUGUUCGGAAUUACUGGGCGUAAAGCGCACGUAGGCGGCUUUGCAAGUUAGAGGUGAAAGCCCGGGGCUCAACUCCGGAAUUGCCUUUAAAACUGCAUCGCUAGAAUUGUGGAGAGGUAAGUGGAAUUCCGAGUGUAGAGGUGAAAUUCGUAGAUAUUCGGAAGAACACCAGUGGCGAAGGCGACAUCCUGGACCAACACUGACGCUGAGGAGCGAAAGCCAGGGGAGCAAACGGG